rnacentral:snRNA from 1 species
GUGCUUGCGCUUCGGCAGCACAUAUACUAAAAUUGGAACGAUAAAGAGAAGAUUAGCAUCGCCCCUGCGCAAAUUUUUUUUUAAAUAAAAAUUUUAAAAAGUAU